GCUCCCAUGGCAUAGUGUGGUCACUGCGCUCGCCUUGCACGCGGGAGACCCGGGUUCGAUUCCCGGCGGGGUCA
rnacentral:tRNA from 1 species